GUGGUUGCUUCAGAGCACAUAUACUAAAAUUGGAACACUACAGAGAAUAUUAGCAUGGCCACUACGCAAGGAUGACACACAAAUUCAUAAAGCGUUCCAUAUUUUU